rnacentral:rRNA from 1 species
GACGAACGCUGGCGGCGUGCUUAACACAUGCAAGUCGAACGGAAAGGCCCUGCUUGCAGGGUACUCGAGUGGCGAACGGGUGAGUAACACGUGGGUGAUCUGCCCUGCACUUCGGGAUAAGCUUGGGAAACUGGGUCUAAUACCGGAUAGGAGCCAUCUUUAGUGUGGUGGUUGGAAAGUUUUUUCGGUGUAGGAUGAGCUCGCGGCCUAUUAGCUUGUUGGUGGGGUAAUGGCCUACCAAGGCGGCGACGGGUAGCCGGCCUGAGAGGGUGUACGGCCACAUUGGGACUGAGAUACGGCCCAGACUCCUACGGGAGGCAGCAGUGGGGAAUAUUGCACAAUGGGCGCAAGCCUGAUGCAGCGACGCCGCGUGGGGGAUGAAGGCCUUCGGGUUGUAAACUCCUUUCGCUAGGGACGAAGCUUUUUUGUGACGGUACCUAGAUAAGAAGCACCGGCUAACUACGUG